rnacentral:lncRNA from 1 species
CGAAGGCUAAACCGAACAGAACAGUCAUUAUGUAUUGAUCACAUGUCCCUAAAAUCAGUGAAUACAGGCAAUUGACGAUGAUGGGGCGGCGAUGACUGCUGGUGGGCUUCAAUCAACAGUGAUGACGAUCGAUUGGGCUAGUGGCUUUCAAUCGAUGACAACGGCAACUGGGUGGGUUCAAUCGAAACGACGACAACUGGACCCUUCAAUUGACAGUUCGAUGGGGUUCAACGAUGUUCGAUAGUGCUUGUUUC